rnacentral:tRNA from 1 species
GUGCGGACGGAGCGGACGCUGGCGCCCUGACAAGGCGCGCAUAGUGCUACGCGCGUUCUAUCGCUCUUCGCAUG